AGGCUGUGAAAUGGGCACAAUCUUAACAAUUCCUUAUAGCUCUCUCAUGCGUCAAACAAAGAUCCCCCCCUCUUCCUGCCUAAAAUUAUUAAUCUCAUUUCUAACUU